CUCUGGUAACUAGAGAUCCCUCAGACCAUUCUAGGCAGAGUAAAAAUCUCUAGCAGUGGCGCCCGAACAGGGACCUGAAAAGCGAAAGUAAAAGGG
rfam:HIV-1 M_02CD.LBTB032 proviral complete genome, isolate 02CD.LBTB032